GGCGCCUUAGCUCAGUCUGGUAGAACGUCAGUUUCAUGAGCUGAAGGUCCGGAGUUCAAAUCUCCGAGGCGCCA
rnacentral:tRNA from 1 species